rnacentral:rRNA from 1 species
GCUUUAUAAAUAUAUUAAAUUAAAUUAAUUUAAAAGUGUAUAUAAAAAUAUUAUUUAUUUAUUUUAUUUAAUUGGGGCGAUAAAGAUAUAAUUUAUUAUAACUGUUUAAAAUUUUAUACUUUAAUAUAAGAUUAAGAAUUUAAAGAUCCUUUAUAAUGAUUAAAAGAUUAAGUU